rfam:Paenibacillus naphthalenovorans strain 32O-Y, complete genome.
UCCGCCGCGAGGCGGAAUCUGAAGGAUGCCGGAGGCAAAAGCACGGGCCAAGAAAAGCACGGGCCAAGGUACAUGAGCCCAAUUUGAGGCAGUGUUAGUCGGAUGAGCCUCUACACCAAGGCAAAAUCCAAAGCCGCCAAGGGCUGACGCUGUAGACUUGGGUAGUCGCGGGAAAGGAGAGAGGA